rnacentral:tRNA from 1 species
GGGCUUGUAGCUCAGGGGAUAGAGCAACCGCCUUCUAAGCGGUUGGUCGCAGGUUCGAAUCCUGCCAAGCCCGCCA